rnacentral:rRNA from 1 species
UACAGAGGUCUCAGGCGUUGUUCGGAUUCAUUGGGCGUAAAGGGUGUGUAGGUGGCGCGCUAAGUCGGGUGUGAAAUUUCGGAGCUUAACUCCGAAACUGCAUUCGAUACUGGCGUGCUUGAGGACUGGAGAGGAGACUGGAAUUCAUGGUGUAGCAGUGAAAUGCGUAGAUAUCGUAAGGAAGACCAGUGGCGAAGGCGGGUCUCUGGACAGUUCCUGACGCUGAGGCACGAAGGCCAGGGGAGCAAACGGG